UACGGAGGGAGCUAGCGUUGUUCGGAAUUACUGGGCGUAAAGCGCGCGUAGGCGGCUUUGUAAGUUAGAGGUGAAAGCCCGGGGCUCAACCCCGGAAUUGCCUUUAAGACUGCAUCGCUUGAAUCCGGGAGAGGGGAGUGGAAUUCCGAGUGUAGAGGUGAAAUUCGUAGAUAUUCGGAAGAACACCAGUGGCGAAGGCGGCUCACUGGACUGGUAUUGACGCUGAGGUGCGAAAGCGUGGGGAGCAAACAGG
rnacentral:rRNA from 1 species